AUGAAAAAACAACUCAGCAUGUAAGACACUUGUUACAAAAUCUGAAGAUCUGAGUUUGAUCCCCAGAUGUAAACUCCUGGAAGAAAACCAACUGCUGAAGACUGACCUCUGAUUUUCACAUGUGUGCUAUGGUGAAACCAAGAAAAUCAAAUGGAAAUGGGGGCAAGAUUAUAAUUCCUUAAAACCCAUUCUCAGCACUGUACCUCUGCCAGCAAAGUGCCUUGAAGCUGGAGUUUUCUCCAGUCCCGCCCGGGCCCGUACCUCUCAGACCCAAAUAAACACACAGAGGCUUAUAUUAAUUAAAA